GACGAACGCUGGCGGCGUGCUUAACACAUGCAAGUCGAGCGGAAAGGCCCUUCGGGUACGUCGAGCGGCGAACGGGUGAGUAACACGUGAGUAACCUGCCCUUGGCUCUGGGAUAGCUCCGGGAAACCGGAAUUAAUACCGGAUAUGACCUCGGCCGACAUCGGCUGUGGUGGAAAGAUUUAUCGGCCAGGGAUGGGCUCGCGGCCUAUCAGCUAGUUGGUGGGUAACGGCCGUACCAAGGCGACGACGGGUAGCCGGCCUGAGAGGGCGACCGGCCACACU
rnacentral:rRNA from 1 species